UUUAGGUCUGUUCGACCUUUAAAACUUUACAUGAUCUGAGUUUAAACCGGUGUAAGCCAGGUUGGUUUCUAUCUUUAAUAAAAUAAAAUAUUUUAGUACGAAAGGACCAAAUAUUUAUUAUAAUAAUUUUUAUUUGAAUAUUAUU
rnacentral:rRNA from 1 species